AAAUUAUCUCAGUCGAGAUUCCUACGGGAGGCAGCAGCUAAGAAUCUUCCGCAAUGGGCGAAAGCCUGACGGAGCGACGCCGCGUGGACGAAGAAGGCCGGAAGGUUGUAAAGUCCUUUUCCUGGGGGAGAAUAAUGCGGGGAGGGAAUGCCCUGCAGAUGACGUGAACCAGGGAAUAAGCCCCGGCUAAUUACGUGCCAGCAGCCGCGGUAACACGUAAGGGGCGAGCGUUGUUCGGAUUUAUUGGGCGUAAAGGGCGUGUAGGCGGUAGUGCAAGUCUGGUGUGAAAGGCCCCGGCUCAACCGGGGAAGCGCGCUGGAAACUGUGCUGCUAGAGUUUAGGAGGGGAAGCUGGAAUUCCUGGUGUAGGGGUGAAAUCUGUAGAGAUCAGGAAGAACACCGGAGGCGAAGGCGAGCUUCUGGCCAUAGACUGACGCUGAGGCGCGAAAGCGUGGGGAGCAAACAGGAUUAGAUACCCUGGUAGUCCACGCUGUAAACGAUGUGCACUAGGUGUUGGGGGUAUGAACUCUCGGUGCCGGAGCUAACGCGUUAAGUGCACCGCCUGGGGAGUACGCCGGCAACGGUAAAACUCAAAGGAAUUGACGG
rnacentral:rRNA from 1 species